AGAUUAAGUUAUUAAGGGCGCACGGUGGAUGCCUUGGCACUAGAAGCCGACGAAGGACGUUACUAACGACGAUAUGCUUUGGGUAGCUGUAAGUAAGCGUUGAUCCAGAGAUUUCCGAAUGGGGGAACCCAGCACGAGUUAUGUCGUGUUAUCGACAAGUGAAUUCAUAGCUUGUCAGAAGGCAGACCCGGAGAACUGAAACAUCUUAGUACCCGGAGGAAGAGAAAGAAAAAUCGAUUCCCUGAGUAGCGGCGAGCGAAACGGGAAGAGCCCAAACCAAUAAGCUUGCUUAUUGGGGUUGUAGGACACUCUAUACGGAGUUACAAAGGAAUAUAUUAGACGAAUCAUCUGGAAAGUUGAAUCAAAGAAGGUAAUAAUCCUGUAGUUGAAAAUAUAUUCUCUCUUGAGUGGAUCCUGAGUACGACGGAGCACGUGAAAUUCCGUCGGAAUCUGGGAGGACCAUCUCCUAAGGCUAAAUACUCUCUAGUGACCGAUAGUGAACCAGUACCGUGAGGGAAAGGUGAAAAGUACCCCGGAAGGGGAGUGAAAGAGAACUUGAAACCGUGUGCUUACAAGUAGUCAGAGCCCGUUAAUGGGUGAUGGCGUGCCUUUUGUAGAAUGAACCGGCGAGUUACGAUCUGAUGCAAGGUUAAGCAGGAGAUGUGGAGCCGUAGCGAAAGCGAGUCUGAAUAGGGCGUUGAGUAUUUGGUCGUAGACCCGAAACCAGGUGAUCUACCCAUGGUCAGGUUGAAGUUCAGGUAACACUGAAUGGAGGACCGAACCGACUUACGUUGAAAAGUGAGCGGAUGAACUGUGGGUAGCGGAGAAAUUCCAAUCGAACUUGGAGAUAGCUGGUUCUCUCCGAAAUAGCUUUAGGGCUAGCCUCAAGUGAUGAUUAUUGGAGGUAGAGCACUGUUUGGACGAGGGGCCCCUCUCGGGUUACCGAAUUCAGACAAACUCCGAAUGCCAAUUAAUUUAACUUGGGAGUCAGAACAUGGGUGAUAAGGUCCGUGUUCGAAAGGGAAACAGCCCAGACCACCAGCUAAGGUCCCAAAAUAUAUGUUAAGUGGAAA
rnacentral:rRNA from 1 species